GAUGAAGAACGCAGCGAAAUGCGAUAAGUAAUGUGAAUUGCAGAAUUCAGUGAAUCAUCGAAUCUUUGAACGCACAUUGCGCCCGCCAGUAUUCUGGCGGACAUGCCUGUUCGAGCGUCAUUACAACCCUCAGGCCCCCGGGCCUGGCGUUGGGGAUCGGCGGAGCCCCCCGUGGGCACACGCCGUCCCCCAAAUGCAGUGGCGGUCCCGCCGCAGCUUCCAUCGCGUAGUAGCUAACACCUCGCGACUGGAGAGCGGCGCGGCCACGCCGUAAAACACCCAACUCUUCUGAAGUUGACCUCGAAUCAGGUAGGAAUACCCGCUGAACUUAAGCAUAUCAAUAAGCGGAGGA
rnacentral:misc_RNA from 1 species